CCUAUAAAGCCAAGUACACCAAGUAGUCUUCAAAGAGGAAGUGGGAGAUGAGAUUGUGAGUCAAAUAAGCAAAAAUCUUAACACCAAAGAAACAAACAGUGUAAAAACUAGCUUCCUCAACUGAAGACUGUAUAACUUGAAAUACUAGGUGAUAUGUUUGGGUCCUCAAAAUUCCACAAAAUAAACAUGGUACAUAUUCUAGAACUAUAACUUUAUUCAAUGGCAAUUGACUUGAAAUGUUUUUAGGUGAACACAAAUGUAUUAUGGAGUAGAAUGUAAAUGUGUGGAAUACUUUUCAAAUGAUAGAUGCAAUUGUGUUCUUUGAAAUUAUCUAGAAAUAUGAAAUAAUUGUCCACAAAUAAUAAGAGUAGUUUAUCAGAAAAAUUGCAAAUUAUUUACCAAAACAAAAACACACAGAAUUGAGUCUGGCAGUAGAAUAAAUAUAUUUUUUAAAUAAGAUAAAGAACAGAAAAAUAACUGGAUAAGUAGGUCAUUGAAGCCAUUUUUAUCUCCUGGCACACUGCUACCUACUCCCUAAAUUGCAUUAGAUUUCAUAUAGUAGAAAUAUUAAAAGUUGUUUAAGGUUCCUAAGAAGAAACUACAACACGAAGAUUAAUCUGAUACAAAUAUGCAGGAUGGAAUAACAGGAAGUGGGAGUGGGAGGGAGGGGUGUCUUGGGAGCACUACAGUAAGAGGAUUAUUGCAGGAGUCCAAACUUCCACUGAUGAAGACAUGGAUUGAAAUGAAGCGCGUAUGUGCUCACAGUUAACAACAACAACAAGAAAAGGCUGGAGAAAACAGCGGUAAGAGCACUAUGAGAUAAAUAUGAAGACUAAAUAUACAGUUAACAACAACAACAACAAGAAAAGGCUGGAGAAAACAGAGAUUUCACCUGUGUCUAUGCCUGGACGCCAGAGGUGGGGGCAAGAAGCAGGCCUCGCUGGUGUGGCUUGGCUCUGGCAAGAAGACGGCUGCUUGGACAGGUGAUGCUGGUCAUUCCCAGACUAGCAGCUCAUUAGGAGAAAGAGGGAGAGACAGAUGGGCCCCACUGGUCAGCUCUGGUUGCUGAAUUUAAUGUAUUCACUGGUGAAAAAGUAACAGUGGCCUAACAGUUAACACAUAGGCCAAGAAUACGAGACUGUCAGACUGCACGAUGCUAUUAAUUUUGAAAGUGGGAGCAUAAUUGGCUACCACUUACCACCUGUGGUUGAUGUUAGUGCUUCAAUAAAGGAGAAGAAAGAUAAUCUGAGGCUAGUGAU
rnacentral:lncRNA from 1 species